rnacentral:rRNA from 1 species
GACGAACGCUGGCGGCGUGCUUAACACAUGCCAGUCGAACGGAAAGGCCCUGCUUUUGUGGGGUGCUCGAGUGGCGAACGGGUGAGUAACACGUGAGUAACCUGCCCUCGACUUUGGGAUAACUUCAGGAAACUGGGGCUAAUACCGGAUAGGAGCUCCUGCUGCAUGGUGGGGGUUGGAAAGUUUCGGCGGUUGGGGAUGGACUCGCGGCUUAUCAGCUUGUUGGUGGGGUAGUGGCUUACCAAGGCUUUGACGGGUAGCCGGCCUGAGAGGGUGACCGGCCACAUUGGGACUGAGAUACGGCCCAGGCUCCUACGGGAGGCAGCAGUGGGGAAUAUUGCACAAUGGGCGGAAGCCUGAUGCAGCAACGCCGCGUGCGGGAUGACGGCCUUCGGGUUGUAAACCGCUUUCGCCUGUGACGAAGCGUGAGUGACGGUAAUGGGUAAAGAAGCACCGGCUAACUACGUG